UCACCCAGACUGCCCGGCCUGGGAUCUAAUCCCAGCAUCACCCGAGUGCCUGAGGUUUACCUGAGAACAGGUCUCUCUCAGUCUAAUCACGAAAAGGUGAAGCCUUGGAAGCCUAAAGAUAGAGGAAGAUAACCUACCUUUCUCCAGUGGCAGGGGCCACAACCAAUGGCCUGUGUUUGGUGUGAUUAUGCCAAAACGAGAGAGAAGAUUUAUUGGCAGAGAAGAGAAAUUUCAAGAGGGCCUGGAGCAGUGAUGGAGGAGACUGGAGAACACACAGGUUUCUCGUGUCUGAGCAGCACAGUCACGGGCCUCCGGAAAGCCUGAUGUUCCAGCCACCUCCAGGCCGGUUGGCUCCAUCGAUUGGCUGCCGCUCCGCCUGUGCCCCGAUCUGCACACGCGCUCAUCUCCCCGCAACUC